rnacentral:rRNA from 1 species
GACGAACGCUGGCGGCGUGCUUAACACAUGCAAGUCGAACGGACAGGCCCUGCUUUUGUGGGGUGCUCGAGUGGCGAACGGGUGAGUAACACGUGAGUAACCUGCCCCUGACUUUGGGGUAACUUCUGGAAACUGGGGCUAAUACCGGAUAGGAGCUCCUGCUGCAUGGUGGGGGUUGGAAAGUUUCGGCGGUUGGGGCUGGACUCGCGGCUUAUCAGCUUGUUUGUGGGGUAGUGGCUUACCAAGGGUUCGACGGGUAGCCGGCCUGAGAGGGUUACCGGCGACAUUGGGACUGAGAGACGGCCCAGAAUCCUACGGGAGGCAGGAGGGGGGAAUAUUGCAGAAUGGGGGGAAGUCUGAUGCAGAAAUGCUGGGAGCGGGAUGACGGCUUACGGGGGGUAAACCGAUUUCGCAGGUGACGAAGCGGGAGUGACGGUAAUGGGUAAAGAAGCACCGGCUAACUACGUG